rnacentral:rRNA from 1 species
GACGUACUGCGCGAACGUUAUUCGGAAUCACUGGGCUUAAAGGGUGCGCAGGCGGCUGAUCGAGCCCGUGGUGAAAGGUCCCGGCCCAACCGGGACAUCGCUUCGGGGACUGGUCGGCUCGGGCGAUCUAGGGGUCCGUGGAACUCCCGGUGGAGCGGUGAAAUGUGUUGAGAUCGGGAGGAACGCCGGUGGCGAAAGCGACGGACUGGGGGUUUGCCGACGCUCAUGCACGAAAGCCAGGGGAGCGAACGGG